rnacentral:rRNA from 1 species
UACGAAGGGGGCUAGCGUUGCUCGGAAUCACUGGGCGUAAAGCGCACGUAGGCGGAUUGUUAAGUCAGGGGUGAAAUCCUGGAGCUCAACUCCAGAACUGCCUUUGAUACUGGCGAUCUCGAGUCCGGGAGAGGUGAGUGGAACUGCGAGUGUAGAGGUGAAAUUCGUAGAUAUUCGCAAGAACACCAGUGGCGAAGGCGGCUCACUGGCCCGGUACUGACGCUGAGGUGCGAAAGCGUGGGGAGCAACAGGG